CAGUCGCCGCGGUAAUACGUAGGGUGCAAGCGUUAAUCGGAAUUACUGGGCGUAAAGCGUGCGCAGGCGGUUAUAUAAGACAGAUGUGAAAUCCCCGGGCUCAACCUGGGAACUGCAUUUGUGACUGUAUAGCUAGAGUACGGCAGAGGGGGAUGGAAUUCCGCGUGUAGCAGUGAAAUGCGUAGAUAUGCGGAGGAACACCGAUGGCGAAGGCAAUCCCCUGGGCCUGUACUGACGCUCAUGCACGAAAGCGUGGGGAGCAAACAGGAUUAGAUAACCCCGUAGUCCCUGUCUCUUAUAA
rnacentral:rRNA from 1 species